rnacentral:rRNA from 1 species
UAUUGGACAAUGGGCGCAAGCCUGAUCCAGCAAUACCGCGUGUGUGAAGAAGGCCUUAGGGUUGUAAAGCACUUUCAAUUGAGAGGAAAACCUGCCGGUCAAUACCCGGUAGCUUGACAUUACCUUUAGAAGAAGCACCGGCUAACUCCGUGCCAGCAGCCGCGGUAAUACGGAGGGUGCGAGCGUUAAUCGGAAUUACUGGGCGUAAAGCGUGCGUAGGCGGUUCGUUAAGUCAGAUGUGAAAGCCCUGGGCUCAACCUGGGAACGGCAUUUGAAACUGGCGGACUAGAGUUUAGUAGAGGGGAGUGGAAUUUCAGGUGUAGCGGUGAAAUGCGUAGAUAUCUGAAGGAACACCAGUGGCGAAGGCGACUCCCUGGACUAGAACUGACGCUGAGACGGA